UUAGUAUGUUUUUGUUUUGUCUUUUACGGGAGCUGCCGUUUCAAAGGCCUGACUCAAGAGGAAUCUUGAGUCACCUGUAACAUCAAGGUCAAGAUCGAGAAUAUUCAAAAUGGAGCGGAGAGAGAAGAACGGACUUGAUUCACCUGAUUUAACGACGAUUUUGCGACUCUUCUGACCCUAGUUUUUGCUGAGUUGAUGUUCCAAAGGCCUGACUCAAGGGGAAGCUGUUGAGUCUCCUGUAAAAUCAAGAUCAAGCGGUUUUUGGAGGGAAAAGCACCAGAACCAGAACCAGGGAAACUCCUCCACUCACUGGCCUCACUCCACAUCCACAGACCCACAGUAUCUGACCUCCUGAGUGGUAACCAAGACCCUGGCCUUCAAGAUCCUAAAACUCACCAGAACCUUCCUCAAGAAAACAGAGCAACUCAAGUCAAACAGUCCACCUUCUACUUGCACCUUUGGGACACUACCUAGAGGCUGUGGUACCACAGCCUACAGCACAGUACAGAAUAUAGCUCCCCCCCAUCUAAUGGCUACAGGAAAUGGGUUGAUGAUGGUAUACGUACAUAGAAAAGGAGAAUGUCGGCCAGUCAUCCCUCAGUAACCCACUCAAGGAGCUGGCAUCAUCUGACGGCAUUCAAGAGUCUCCUGUGUUACUAUCAAGCCAUCCAUGUCAUCAUCCCAAUAUUCAGGCUUCAGCUGACUUCACACAACCCCCCUGGAUGUCAUCCCUGAACCUGCACAGCACUCACAUUUUCCUCCGGGUGAAGGGUGGAGGCCGAGAGGAGUGCCUGUGGUGCUGCUCGAUGGUGUGGAGGAGUUGGCCAGCAGCGCAUCCUGUUCACCUUGACCUGCGCACUUGAGGUCCCUCCCGUGUGUGUGUGUGUGUGUGUGUGUUAGAGGGGGAAGGGAAAGGGUUUGGGGGGAGGGGUGCAUGGCGUGGUGGCGGGGUUCCUGUAGAGGGUAGAGGGACUCUCCCAUCCCCUGUACCCUUCUUCCUCCUGGGGCAGGAUUCAUCAAACCACUCAUGAUACCUAUCGUUGGCGAGUCUUUUGGUAACCCCAUCCACUAUGAAUGCCCCUGGUCUUUAGGUGGCUCCAAUGGCAGUGAAUGAAGUGACUGCCAGACAGUCACUUCAUUCAUUGCCAUCAGAGCUGCCUAAACACAAGGAGCGUUCAUGGUGGAGUUGCCAGAAGACUUACCAAUGACAGGUCUCACAAGUGGCUUGAUCAAUCUAGCCCCUGACCCACCCUUCCCCAGUGUGUGCAUGUGGGUGUCUGUGUGUACCCCCCCUACCUCACUGCACUAAUGCCUUUCCUAGACACCCACAGGUCUGUGCCACCAGUGGGAGAGGCGAGGCACUGCGGCGGUGGUGCAGCACAGUUCCCGAGAAAGGUAAGUACCUGGGCGCUGUAAGAGUGGGUCAUCCUGAUGCUUUCUGAUGUAACCAAUAUUUGUUACUGAAUAAACCCAUGUAUAACUAACUGCCCACUUGUUUCUAUCACCUCGCAGGUAGGGGAGAAGCAUAGGACACAUUAUAAUAUAGAUUUAUUGACAGUACACUACAGAGUAAUGGGCCCCAAGAUCUGCUGAGUAAGGUGUGCUUCCACAAAGGCUUGGGGCAGAAGUAAUGGGCAUAGCUUGCGCCCAUGAGUUCUCAGCUAAUAGAUGACUUGUAGACAAGAUCACUGUCUCGCUUGCACUCCAUCCACGCCUUGGAGAGAACCCUAGGUGCAUGUUACUGUGGUCUCUGAAAUAUACUGGCCUGGGUGUAGAGUUGAUGGUGUCACAAGCAGGUGGACUUUCAGGUUUUCAGUGCAUUGAAAUAUUGUGCUCUUACCUGAUGUUAGCAUACUACCAGAUACUUAGGAAAACUGAGCAUACUGUCGUGUUCAUGAUACAUUGCUGCAUAUCAUGUGCCUAAAUUAACUACAGUAAGACUACACAUAUAUUAAGAUUAGUG